AUUGAACGCUGGCGGCAUGCCUUACACAUGCAAGUCGAACGGCAGCACGGGUGCUUGCACCUGGUGGCGAGUGGCGAACGGGUGAGUAAUACAUCGGAACAUGUCCUGUAGUGGGGGCUAGCCCGGCGAAAGCCGGAUUAAUACCGCAUACGAUCUCCGGAUGAAAGCGGGGGCCCUUCGGGCCUCGCGCUAUCGGGUUGGCCGAUGGCUGAUUAGCUAGUUGGUGGGGUAAAGGCCUACCAAGGCGACGAUCAGUAGCUGGUCUGAGAGGACGACCAGCCACACUGGGACUGAGACACGGCCCAGACUCCUACGGGAGGCAGCAGUGGGGAAUUUUGGACAAUGGGCGAAAGCCUGAUCCAGCAAUGCCGCGUGUGUGAAGAAGGCCUUCGGGUUGUAAAGCACUUUUGUCCGGAAAGAAAUCCUUGGCCCUAAUACGGUCGGGGGAUGACGGUACCGGAAGAAUAAGCACCGGCUAACUACGUG
rnacentral:rRNA from 1 species